AAACACUAGUUAUUUUAUAUUUGUGUCUUAUAUUUAUUGUACUACAUAUGAAAUACUUUGGUGAUGUAUAUUAUAGUAAUGUUGAUCUUUUAUAUGCAUGUAAUGUGUUCUUAUGUAAUUCGGCCUGAUUGACCUCUUCCAUGUCGGUGUUGACUGUUUGGAGGCGGACUACGAACUGAGACUUAUCUGUCUAGGUUUUUAUUCUACCGUCAUCCCAUCAAUUUUUGGCUGGUGGACUUGCUCUUUGGAUCUUGAUGGGCCGAUCACUUUUGAUUUGAGAUCAGGAGUUGCUCUUUGGAUCCUGAUGGGUCGAGUUGAUGUCUUCUUUGGUAGUCUGGAGGCUGAGGAGUGUCCUUCUAAUAAUGAGAUUAGAAGUAGGACUCUAUUAGAUGAUGUCUGUUUUUGUUUAAUUCUUAUUGGUGUUCGGCUUAUAUACGACAUCUUGUUUUGCGGUUCUGUUUUCCCGGCCCCUGUUCGUCUUAUGCAAAGACCAUUUAUGAAUAAUAUUAUAUUUGUCAUUAAAAAAAAAAUUAGUUGUUUGUUACUUUUUUACGGUAUAACUAGUUAAAGACUUGUGCGUUCGCACGGGUAGCAUAAUAUUACGGUGAUUAAUUAGUAUACGAAUUAUAAUUUUAUUGCUAUAUCAUUUAUGAAAAAGCAUUGUCUAUUUUUAAAAAACCAAAAUAAAAUAAAUCAACAUAUUCAGAAUUAAGCUAAAUACAUAUGAUCUAUAAAUUUUCAAAAACUACUUUGAAAACAACAUUGGUGGUAGACUUUAAUGCUUUGUUUUCUUUGUCGUGGAUUAAAAUUUUAAGUCAUUUUUUGCUCUUUACUCUUGAGAUUGCUACAUAUAAUUGACCGUGACUAAAUACACGCGGAGGAGCAAGAGUUAUUUGUAGGUUAUUUGCAAGCAAUGAAUUUGUUGAUGCAUAAGUUGCUUAAAUAGAUUAUUGUUGGUAAUUUAUUUUUGUUGUUUAUUUUGUUUUAUUUUGUUGUUAUUUUCAUGGUAUAGAUUAUUUGAAUAAUGACAUACCACCAUUGACUACAAGAAGAAAUAAAAAAAAAAAAGAUGAUGAAAGCAUAAACAAACUUGAGAGUUUGAGCCAUAUUUUU
rnacentral:lncRNA from 1 species